rnacentral:lncRNA from 1 species
GCAGGUACCAGUAGUGUGUUUCAGUUCCCCAGAAAAAAUUGAGAAAAAAUUAGGGACAGCCUGUAGGCGCACUGUAGAGCCGUAUUCAGACCCCGAAACAAGUAAGGACCCUUCACCCUAUUUCCUAUCACGGUAUUAAAGCUAAAUAAAUAAUUAAACUGUACUUUGUGACUUUAUAGAUGUAUAAUUGAUUAAGGUUGCCAAUGGAG